rnacentral:rRNA from 1 species
CUACAAAUGAAUUGAGGGACCCGCACAAGCAGCGGAGCGUGUGGUUUAAUUCGUUGCUACACGAAGAACCUUACCUGGGUUUGACAUAUAGGUUGUAGGGAACUGAAAAGGGACCGACCCUUCGGGGAGCCUAUACAGGUGUUGCAUGGCUGUCGUCAGCUCGUGUCGUGAGAUGUUCGGUUAAGUCCGCUAACGAGCGCAACCCUCGUCGUAUGUUAUAUGUGUCAUACGAGACUGCCGGUAAAAGCCGGAGGAAGGUGAGGAUGAUGUCAAGUCAGCAUGACCUUUAUAUCCAGGGCUGCACACACGCUACAAUGGUCUGUACAAUGGGUAGCCAAGCCGCGAGGCGGAGCCAAUCCUGAAAGCAGGCCUCAGUUCAGAUUGCAGUCUGCAACUCGACUGCAUGAAGCCGGAGUUGCUAGUAACCGCAGGUCAGCUAUACUGCGUUGAAUACGUUCCCGGGGCUU